rnacentral:tRNA from 1 species
GCCUCGGUAGUCUAAAGGCUUAGGACGCUCGUAUAGAAUAUAAGAGAUCCGGGUUCAAGUCUCGGUCGAGGUA